rnacentral:rRNA from 1 species
AACGAACGCUGGCGGCAGGCUUAACACAUGCAAGUCGAACGGGUGUAGCAAUACAUCAGUGGCAGACGGGUGAGUAAGACGUGGGAACCUUCCUCGGGGUACGGAACAACUCAGGGAAACUUGAGCUAAUACCGUAUACGUCCGUGAGGAGAAAGAUUUAUCGCCCUGAGACGGGCCCGCGUCGGAUUAGCUAGUUGGUGGGGUAACGGCCUACCAAGGCGACGAUCCGUAGCUGAUCUUAGAGGAUGAUCAGCCACACUGGGACUGAGACACGGCCCAGACUCCUACGGGAGGCAGCAGUGGGGAAUCUUGGACAAUGGGCGCAAGCCUGAUCCAGCCAUGCCGCGUGAGUGAAGAAGGUCUUCGGAUUGUAAAGCUCUUUUGCCAGGGACGAUAAUGACGGUACCUGGAGAAUAAGCCCCGGCAAACUUCGUGCCAGCAGCCGCCGUAAUAC